AAAAAUAUAAUAUUAACUUAGUGAUUUUAUCGUUAUAUGUUACCAGUAAUACUAAUUUAAGCAGCAUGUAGAUCACACUUUUGUGCUCUCAUCACACCCGCCAACUAGCUUAUUGCUAGUCUCUAGCAAUUAACGAGUAAACGAUAAAAUGAGGGCACAAAAGAUGUAGUCUCACCCAUGACUUUUUAUUGAAGCUAAGUACAUAAAACUGAGAUAUGUACCCAUUUUCGUAGAGCAUCACGAUUGCACUUAGCACGUGCAACAAGUCUUUAAACCCCUAGAUUACCCUAGUGGACGAGCGUUGUCUCGUGAGGGUUUGCAGUGAAGUUACCCACAAACUUCAUCAGUCAGAAAUUUUCAAUUUUUAACUCAAAAUUUGAACAAGUAUUACUUAUGAAACUAGAAUUGCAAGGACAAUAGAGACUUGUUGCUAUCAUAUUUAAGCAGACUCUAACUCAAGUUUCAUUACACCCCAUCUAUCUGCUAGCAAGUCAAGAAUGUAGUAAGGUGCAAGAUAGUAUCAUAUAAAUGAGUGGCU
rnacentral:lncRNA from 1 species